rfam:Prevotella sp. CAG:255 genomic scaffold, scf4
GCGCCUGUGGCGGAAUUGGUAGACGCGCUAGACUUAGGAUCUAGUGUCCCGCGACGUGUAGGUUCGAGUCCUAUCAGGCGCA